UGCCAGCCGCCGCGGUAAUACGGAGGGGGUUAGCGUUGUUCGGAAUUACUGGGCGUAAAGCGCGCGUAGGCGGAUUAGUAAGUUAGGGGUGAAAUCCCGGGGCUCAACCCGGGAACUGCGUUUGAUACUGCAAGACUUGAGGACGGAAGAGGAAAGUGGAAUUCCUAGUGUAGAGGUGAAAUUCGUAGAUAUUAGGAGGAACACCAGAGGCGAAGGCGGCUUUCUGGUCCGUUACUGACGCUGAGGCGCGAAAGCGUGGGGAGCAAACAGGAUUAGAUA
rnacentral:rRNA from 1 species